rnacentral:rRNA from 1 species
CGCUGGCGGCGUGCCUAACACAUGCAAGUCGAGCGAGGAGAUCCUUCGGGAUGAUCCUAGCGGCGGACGGGUGAGUAACACGUGGGCAACCUGCCUCAUAGAGAGGAAUAGCCUUCCGAAAGGGAGAUUAAUACCUCAUAACAUUGCAGUUUCGCAUGGAACAGCAAUUAAAGGAGUAAUCCGCUAUGAGAUGGGCCCGCGGCGCAUUAGCUAGUUGGUGAGGUAAUGGCUCACCAAGGCGACGAUGCGUAGCCGACCUGAGAGGGUGAUCGGCCACAUUGGGACUGAGACACGGCCCAGACUCCUACGGGAGGCAGCAGUGGGGAAUAUUGCACAAUGGGGGAAACCCUGAUGCCAGCAACGCCGCGUGAGUGAUGACGGCCUUCGGGUUGUAAAGCUCUGUCUUCAGGGACGAUAAUGACGGUACCUGAGGAGGAAGCCACGGCUAACUACGUGCCAGCCGCGGC